UGUGCCAGCAGCCGCGGUAAGACGGAGGAUGCAAGCGUUAUCCGGAAUUAUUGGGCGUAAAGCGUCCGCAGGUGGCUGUUCAAGUCUGCUGUCAAAUUUCAGGGCUCAACCCUGGGUCGGCAGUGGAAACUGGAUAGCUAGAGUACGGUAGGGGCAGAGGGAAUUCCUGGUGUAGCGGUGAAAUGCGUAGAUAUCAGGAAGAACACCGGUGGCGAAAGCGCUCUGCUGGGCCGUAACUGACACUCAUGGACGAAAGCUAGGGGAGCGAAAGGGAUUAGAUACCCCUGUAGUCCUAGCUGUAAACGAUGGAUACUAGGUGUUGGACGUAUCGACCCGUUCAGUACCGUAGCUAACGCGUUAAGUAUCCCGCCUGGGGAGUACGCACGCAAGUGUGAAACUCAAAGGAAUUGACGGG
rnacentral:rRNA from 1 species